AGUGGGAUAACGGGUAACACGAUGGAAGACAAGCUUUCCCUUCUGCUCGGCUUCUCAUCGUGUUACCCAACAUCUCAUC
rnacentral:pre_miRNA from 1 species